rfam:Calypte anna contig75879, whole genome shotgun sequence.
UGGAGGACUGAGAAGGUAAGCCAGUUAACUCCUUGCUGUAGCUUACUGGUUCAAGCCUCCAAAAUUGUACUUGUGCAAUAGCAGCUCAUGCUUCCUUCUUGACGUGAGGGAAAGCAGUACUGCAGUUGCACAUAAAAA